CUCAGUAACGGCGAGUGAAGCGGUAACAGCUCAAAUUUGAAAUCUGGGUCUUUCAGGCUCCGAGUUGUAAUUUGUAGAAGAUGCUUUGGGUGCGGCCCCGGUCUAAGUUCCUUGGAACAGGACGUCAUAGAGGGUGAGAAUCCCGUAUGUGAUCGGUGGCUUGCGCCCGUGUAAAGCUCUUUCGACGAGUCGGGUUGUUUGGGAAUGCAGCUCUAAAUGGGUGGUAAAUUUCAUCUAAAGCUAAAUAUUGGCCAGAGACCGAUAGCGCACAAGUAGAGUGAUCGAAAGAUGAAAAGGACUUUGGAAAGAGAGUUAAACAGUACGUGAAAUUGUUGAAAGGGAAGCGCUUGCAACCAGACUUGCGCGGGGUUGAUCAUCCGGGGUUCUCCCCGGUGCACUCGGCCUCGCUCAGGCCAGCAUCGGUUUCGGUGGUUGGAUAAAGGCCUUGGGAAUGUGACUUCUUUCGGGGAGUGUUAUAGCCCUCGGUGCAAUGCAGCCUACCGGGACCGAGGACCGCGCUUCGGCUAGGAUGCUGGCGUAAUGGUUGUAAGCGACCCGUCUUGAAACACGGACCAAGGAGUCUAACAUCUAUGCGAGUGUUUGGGUGUCAAACCCAUACGCGUAAUGAAAGUGAACGGAGGUGAGAACCCUUAAGGGUGCAUCAUCGACCGAUCCUGAUGUCUUCGGAUGGAUUUGAGUAAGAGCAUAGCUGUUGGGACCCGAAAGAUGGUGAACUAUGCCUGAAUAGGGUGAAGCCAGAGGAAACUCUGGUGGAGGCUCGCAGCGGUUCUGACGUGCAAAUCGAUCGUCAAAUUUGGGCAUAGGGGCG
rnacentral:rRNA from 1 species